CCCCUGCCGGUGCCCUCCCCGCCCGGCCCUAGCUCUCUCGCCUUCUCGCCCGCCCGGCGCUGGCCCUGCUGGAUCCUGCGCGCCGGGGACUGGGGGCUGGCAGUGCAGACCGAACCCGGGGCCGAGGGGCUUCUCCACAGAGCCGCCUGGGGCUCGGUGGGGGGCGCUCAGCUCGACCCCAGCUAAGGGAGCACUAGGAAGUGCGGGCGUCCCCUUCCCUGCACCCUUGCGGGGCGGGAACCGUCGACCUAGAAGAAAAAAAAAGCUGAGGCAAACUUGAUAUAAGUAGAGAGGUUAUUUGGGCCAAGUUUGAAGAUUGCAACCCGGGAGCAUAGCUUCAAGUUGCCCUGAACAUAGGAUUUGCAACAGUGACAAAGGUGAGGCCAGAGAAGUGACAAGACAGAUGCCAGUCCAGCAGGUGGGCAUGUCCAGAAAGUGCAGCCUCAGGACACGGUCUGGGAACAAAGACUGCUGGAGAGUUGGAAGCUGGCAAGAGGCUCUCAGCUGUGAAGUACCUGGGGUGGGGGAGAAGUGGUCGGAGAAAGCAGAGACAUUUGGCUUCACUUGAACCUGUGUUUGAAGCUUUAGUGAACAUUGUCUUUGGGAGUAAGAAGUACUAGAAAAUUUAUGUUCAUCUGCAUCUUGUCACUGGGACAUGAGCAUAGGUGGUCUACCUUCAGUUUGGUCUGUGAACAGGAGGAUUACUUGAGCUCAGGAGUUCUAGUCCAGCCUGGGCAACAGAGCAAGACCCUGUCUCAAAAAGAAAGAAAGAAAUGAGGAUAUGAGUUUGCUGCUCUUUAAAUCGAUGACUUUGCAGCUCUUCAUCUGAAGAGGUGGCGUCUGUUUCUCCUGUUUGAGUGUGGCACAUCCAGGAGAGUGGCUUUGAGCAGUGGUGUGGCAGACGUGACUGUAGGCCAGCCCUGAGCUGAGGCUGCCAGGGGACUGCACACUUCUUCUCUCAGCUCUGCCAGCUGCUGCACUGUGUCUGGGCCAGCCCGCUGGAGCACAGAGUUCAGUGCAUUGGGACAGCUACAGCCCAUUGCAUCGGGACAGCCCACAGCAACAAGACCCACCUGUCGCCACUGCAGGUGCGUGAGGGUGCCCGGCUGAGAGCAGACAAACCGCCUAGCAGGUGGCUUUUCAAGCGGAAUCACAGACUAGCUCCAUCGCUGUGGUGAACGUUCUCCCCAGUGCCAGGAUUCCACUUGGCCCCUGACUGCUUGAGCAGCCGAUGUGACAGCCAUCUCUCUGCUGCCGUGCAUGUCGGCUGGGCUGGAGCCAGUGCAUCAGGAAGUAGACGCAGAAGUGGAUCAGGAGCAAAACAUUCCUGAGAGCUGGCAGAAGCUGGCGUCUGGAGCCGCUGGGAUGCGGGUAUGGGCUCUCUCAGUGGCGGAGGAACAGCCUCCUGGCAGAACCAAAGGUUGCUUUGUGCCUUCGAUGCUGCUGCUGGCCAGAGUGGUUUUCUGUCUCAGACCCUGUACCACGUGUCUGUUCUUUCUCAUUUUUUACUUAAAGGAGAAGAAAAUGAUUAUGUGUA
rnacentral:lncRNA from 1 species